rnacentral:lncRNA from 1 species
CACCUGUGUGAGAUAGUUUCCACUGACUCCUCCUUCUGAUCCACUUCCCAUCCUGCUCUGUCUCAGAAGCUGCCCUCCACAGGCUAACCUCAACUGGUUCUCUUGUCUUCUGGCUUCGGGGUGUAUUCAGCCAAGAGGCACUGGAGGAUAGUUAGAGGUUGGGAUAUUUAUCACCCUGACCUCCACCCUACCCUGCCCCAGUUGGCAGUAGCUGCAUUCUCUAACAAAGGCCAUGGGUCUCAUCAGGCAGCCCCUCUCUCAUGGCUGUAGAAAGAGUUUCAACCUUUUGCUCCUUCAGGUCCAAGAGUGACAAUGCUUCCAGCUGUUGCAAGUCCCCCGAGUUUCCCCACCUCUUCUUGGCUCCCUUAACUAUGCCCACCCCUUUAUAAAUAGUCCCUUCAUUAAGCCCUCCUCACCUACCCCCUUUCAUGAGGCCAUCUGUCUCCUGCUAGGGGGAUGCAGUAUCAAACCCCACCAGUGGUAGGCACACAUUUUUCACACCCAUAUAGGUGCCAGCUGAGACCCAGGAGGGAAUUCCUUAUCCAACAUCCCCCAGCCUGUGAGUGCCAGAGCUAGGAACAGUAUCCCUGGUUGGAUGUGUUUCUCCCCAUACAUACUGCUUCUCAAGGGAGAAAUUGGUCAGUUCUGUUAACAAUGCCCAAGUGUUCAUAUUGUAAUGUCCUCUUAUGAAUCUCUCACUCUUACACUUUCUUCCCCAUCCUAAUCCAUGUUCUGCUGGGCCCCAGAUGUAAAUGGGAUUGUGGCCAGCUCACCUCUUUCCUCCCCUUCCCCAGGACUCCCGGAUGUCAUGCAUCAGCCCUAUGAGAGUCUUGCCUCUUCUUCAACACACCUGUGUUUCACCGCUGUCCUUUGAUCAGGAGUCCUGUCUGGCAAAGGUGCAAAGCCCCCUACAUCUCUUCCUCUCAAAACCUGCUGCCCAACUUUCCCUCUCUUUCCAGAAAUAAUAAUUCCCUCCCUGUCCUCCCACAACUCUACUUAGCACUGGCUUGAAUGGUGACAAGUAGUGUAUGUGUUUCCCUGACUACACUGUGACUGCUUCUAUGAUCACACUGAAUUCCUCUUUGUAUCAUCAGCAUCCCCCACCAAGUCUGACUCAAAUAGGCCCUUCAUAGGGCUACGUUGAGCAAGCUGCAUUCAUUAGGCCAUUAAGAACAUUAAAGCACAAAAGACGUUCUAAUGGGUGACAGAUGAAUGCUCAUCCUGUUCCUGUAAACAUCUGUCCAGGGCCUGAGCUCAGAAGGCAGAAUCCGUCGUGGAGCGUGUCCAACUCCUACCCCAAGAGCAGCCUCCAUGUUUACCCACGGACUGGGCUCACACACAGGCAGGCAGCUCCGAGCUCUGAGCACCUCAGCAUCCUUGGACUCUGAGCUAGCGUGGUCACAUGUCGGGGGGACAGAGUUCCCCAGCCCUUACCCUGCAGUCUUGCUUCUGAUAGGGAAACCUUGAGCUCGUAGUGACUGUGGGGCUGGCUCUCCAGGACAAGCCCCUCCAGUGGAGCCAGGAACCAGGAUGGAAGGUUGGGUUUGGGGGUGGACUGAUGGCCUGGAGUUCACUGCCACCUAUUUUCUUUUCCUCUUUUUCCAUCUCACCCAGAGCUGUGGGAAGAGGCCUUGACAACAGGUGAGAUUUGGGGCACCUGACUGUGACUUCAACCCAGCAGGUGGGGUUGGCCCAAAGCAGUUCCCCAGCUUGUCCUCUCAGGUCCUCUGGACACCCUUCCCCACCACACAUAACCCUGGACCUUCACAGCUCCCACACCACCAUCCACACCUAGGAAAGGACAUCGGACUGGAGGUCAGGGGCCUAGGAUUCAAGUCCCAGCUCUGCCGACAGCUACCAGUGUAUUCUUGGGCAAGUCACUGAACCUCUGUGGGUCCUGAUUCCCUUACCUGUAAGAGAGUGAUAAUCAUAAGGCCCUCUGCAUUGCUCUAAGGAUCAAGAUAAUGCUUGUGAAAGUCUUCACUGUACUCUAAAGUGUGAUUAAUAUAUAUUCUUUAUCCUGGAAUCUCCUAUCUCCUUUGAGUCC